AACGAACGCUGGCGGCAUGCCUAACACAUGCAAGUCGAACGAGACCUUCGGGUCUUGUGGCGCACGUGUGCGUAACGCGUGGGAACCUGCUCUUAUGUUCGGAAUAACUCCCCGAAAGGGGUUCUAAUACCGGAUAAUCUCUUCGGACCAAAGAUUUAUCGCCUUUGGAUGGGCCCGCGUUGGAUUAGCUAGUUGGUAGGGUAAACGCCUACCAAGGCGACGAUCCAUAGCUGGUCUGAGAGGAUGAUCAGCCACACUGGGACUGAGACACGGCCCAGACUCCUACGGGAGGCAGCAGUGGGGAAUAUUGGACAAUGGGCGAAAGCCUGAUCCAGCCAUGCCGCGUGAGUGAUGAAGGCCUUAGGGUUGUAAAGCUCUUUUACCCGGGAAGAUAAUGACAGUAGCGGGAGAAUAAGCCCCGGCUAACUUCGUG
rnacentral:rRNA from 1 species